AUUUACUCUGUAACAAGAAGUAUAAAAGGGCGGAAAUCCGCAUAGGGAAGUUAGUCAGGUUGGUGGAUGGGUUAAACACAGGACUUUCUCAUAGGAGGCCGGGGAUUGUGUCCCGCGUGUCACGUUUCCUAACCUCAACUGUCGCUUUCUUCUCGCAAUAACACGCCAAGUGCCAUGUAUGUUUACGCCCACUGACAUACGCUCACACAUCUCAAAAUGUGUACAGAUAACAUGCCAUUUGGCUUAAGAAAGUGGGCGUGUAUGUUUCCGCAAAGUCAUGAUGUCAUGUUGACGGUACGGGAGGUAG